rnacentral:tRNA from 1 species
GGAGAGGUGGCCGAGAGGCUGAAGGCGGCGGUUUGCUAAACCGUUAUACGGAUCAAGGUCCGUAUCGGGGGUUCGAAUCCCCCCCUCUCCG